UGAGGAAUAUUGCGCAAUGGGCGAAAGCCUGACGCAGCGACGCCGCGUGGAGGAUGAAGGUUUUCGGAUUGUAAACUCCUGUUAAGUGGGAAGAAACGACAAAAUAUAAUACAUUUUGUAACUGACGGUACCAUUAAAGAAAGCACCGGCUAACUUCGUGCCAGCAGCCGCGGUAAUACGAGGGGUGCAAGCGUUAUUCGGAAUUAUUGGGCGUAAAGGGUGCGUAGGCGGCGUAUUAAGUCAACUGUUAAAACCUCCAGCCUAACUGGAGAUCAGCAGUAGAUACUGGUAUGCUAGAGGAUGGAAGAGAGAAGUGGAAUUCUUGGAGUAGCGGUGGAAUGCGUAGAUCUCAAGAGGAACACCAAUGGCGAAGGCAGCUUCUUGGUCCAUAUCUGACGCUGAUGCACGAAAGCGUGGGGAGCAAACAGGAUUAGAUACCCUGGUAGUCCACGCCGUAAACGAUGAUCACUAGAUGUUAAUUCUGCUUGCAGAAUUAGUGUCGUAGCUAACGCGAUAAGUGAUCCGCCUGGGGGACUACGGUCGCAAGAUUAAAACUUAAAUGAAUUGAC
rnacentral:rRNA from 1 species